GCGUUAACAUCAGGAGCAGAAAGAGUGAUUAACAGGCUUUCUAGGUUUCUAACUUGGUCCAAUCCCUCUCGGAAUCUUAGCAAAGUUUACUCCAGAUGAGCAGCAAUCUACUUGGUAAUUGCAGCAUUCUGAGUAGUUUCCUCAAGUUCCUUUCUAGCGCUUGUAUCUCCCAUUUUGCCUUUGUUCCUGUUUCUGGUAGGACUUUGAGGAGGAGGAGGUGGAGGACCUUUGGAUCUUGUGGAGUAUGCUGAUGGUGCCAGAAUGAACGAACUAACCUUUGGGGAGGGGAAUAAAAAAAGGACAAAACAAAAAGGUAAAAAGUUAGUGUGGAUUCUAAUAAAAUAAUAUUG
rnacentral:lncRNA from 1 species